UUUGUUAAUGGAAGAACAGGGGUGGGGUGGCUCUCCGGGUAACAGGGAAUUAGGGUUCGAAACAGGAGAAAGAGCCUGAGAACGGCUACUACAUCUACGGAAGGCAGCAGGCGCGUAAAUUACCCACUCCUGACUCAGGGAGGUGGUGAAAGAUAUAACAACGCGGUUAUUAUCGCGAUUGUAGUGAGGGUAUUCUAAACAGAACCUAUAGUACGAUUAGAGGGCAAGUCUGGUGCCAGCAGCCGCGGUAAUUCCAGCUCUAAUAGCGUAUAUUAAAGUUGCUGCAGUUAAAAAGCUCGUAGUUUGGAUUUCAAGGAUUGUAAACCUCUCCGGGGAAUACUCAUCCUACUAGUCUUCGGACUGUUACUGUGAGAAAAUUAGAGUGUUUCAAGCAGGCUUUUCGCAAGAAUACAUUAGCAUGGAAUAACGAAUGUAUUUAGAAUCUUGGUAAUCUAAUCCACGAGGAGAGAGACAGCCGGGGGCAUUAGUAUUUAAUCUGUCAAAGUGAAAUUCUUGAAUUCGCUCAUCUUCUUACUUAUGCGAAAGCAUUUGCCAGGAUGUUUUCAUUAACCACGGACCACCGACCGGGAUCAAGACAAUCAGAUACUGUCGUAUCUUACUAUAACUAUUGCCGGCUAGGGAUUGGAUUGGCUCACACAUUUCAGUACCUAUGAGAAUCAAGUUCUGGGUUCUGGGGGGAGCUCGUCGCAGAUCUGAAACUUAGAAACUGACGAGGCACCACAGAGGGGAGCU
rnacentral:rRNA from 1 species